rnacentral:rRNA from 1 species
AUUGAACGCUGGCGGCAUGCUUUACACAUGCAAGUCGAACGGUAACAGGCCGCAAGGUGCUGACGAGUGGCGAACGGGGGAGUAAUGCAUCGGAACGUGCCCAGUCGUGGGGGAUAACUACUCGAAAGAGUAGCUAAUACCGCAUACGAUCUAUGGAUGAAAGCGGGGGACCGUAAGGCCUCGCGCGAUUGGAGCGGCCGAUGUCAGAUUAGGUAGUUGGUGGGGUAAAGGCUCACCAAGCCCACGAUCUGUAGCUGGUCUGAGAGGACGACCAGCCACACUGGGACUGAGACACGGCCCAGACUCCUACGGGAGGCAGCAGUGGGGAAUUUUGGACAAUGGGCGCAAGCCUGAUCCAGCAAUGCCGCGUGCAGGAAGAAGGCCUUCGGGUUGUAAACUGCUUUUGUACGGAACGAAACGGCUCUGGUUAAUACCCGGGGCUAAUGACGGUACCGAAAGAAUAAGCACCGGCUAACUACGUG